CCAAAAAAUAGUCUCAGUUCAGAUUGCAGGCUGCAACUCGCCUGCAUGAAGUCGGAAUUGCUAGUAAUCGUAGGUCAGCAUACUACGGUGAAUACGUUCCCGGGCCUUGUACACACCGCCCGUCAAACCAUGAGAGUUGGCAACACCCGAAGUCGGUAGUCUAACCGCAAGGAGGACGCCGCCGAAGGUGGGGUCGAUGAUUAGGGUUAAGUCGUAACAAGGUAUC
rnacentral:rRNA from 1 species